AUGGAGAAUGUUGUAGUGUUGAUUGUUGGUGCUGGGCCAGCAGGCCUUGCUACAGCAGCAUGCCUUAGCCAAUUCUCAAUUCCCUAUGUCAUUGUCGAGCGUGAAAGUUGCAGCGCGUCGCUUUGGCGCAACCGCGCCUACGAUCACCUCAAGCUGCAUCUGGCAAAGGAGUUCUGUGAGUUGCCACACAUGUCAUACCCACUAGAUGCGCCAACAUACAUACCAAAAAACUUGUUUGUGAAGUACUUGGAUAACUAUGUUGAGCGUUUCAAUAUUCGACCCAAGUAUCUCACUAGUGUGGAGACAUCCACAUUUGACAAUGACCAAAAAUGUUGGUCCAUCGUGGCACAUGACAUGGCAAAGAGCACACUAGUCAGGUUCACAACAAAGUUUCUUGUCGUUGCAAGUGGUGAGAAUAGUACAGAGAAUAUUCCAAUGAUCCCCGGAUUGCGAAGUUUUCCGGGUGAUGUCAUCCACUCCUCAAGCUACAAGUCAGGCAAGAGCUACUCUGGCAUGAAUGUAUUGGUCGUUGGAUCUGGCAACUCUGGAAUGGAAAUUGCUUAUGACCUUGCGACCCAUGGUGCCAAUACUUCAAUCGUUAUACGAAGCCCGAUUCAUGUAAUGACAAAGGAAUUAAUCCGGUUGGGGAUGACACUUGCUCGCCGUCUCCCAUUGAAUCUAGUGGAUAACCUCCUUGUGAUGGCGGCAAAUUUCAUAUUUGGUGAUCUAUCGAGGUAUGGCAUCAGAAGGCCAAAAGUGGGUCCAAUGAUCCUCAAGUUAGAGACCGGCCGAUCCGCUGUUAUUGAUGUUGGCACUGUUGGGUUAAUCAAAAAAGGUAUCAUCAAAGUAAAGGAGAGCAUUAGUGAGAUCAUGGGCGAUAUAGUUGAAUUUCAGUGCGGUAGAAAGAUAUCAUUUGACGCGAUUGUGUUUGCAACUGGAUACAAAAGCACAACAAAUAUAUGGCUCAAGAAUAGUGAGAGCAUGUUAAAUGGCAAUGGACUGCCCAUCAAAGAAUAUCCGAAUCAUUGGAAAGGUGAAAAUGGGAUCUACUGUGCUGGGUUAGGAAGGAGAGGAUUGGCCGGUAUUGCAGCAGAUGCCAAGAAUAUCGCCAAUGACAUCAUAUCAGUGAUAGGCGCUAUGUCCGGGUAA
rnacentral:rRNA from 1 species